rnacentral:lncRNA from 1 species
UGUACAUGAUCAUCGUUAUAUACGUUAUUUUACUGUUGGUUUUAUCUCCUUGAUUUUGCAACGUUGGAUUUGAGAUCGAUGAAUUUGUUAUAUCUGAGACACUGUUAUUUAUUUAUGUGAUUUUGAGCAUGAGUAUGUUAUAUCAAUACAUAUGUAUCAGCGAUUGAUGGCAUGAUUAUGUGUAUGACAUAUUUAUUACACUGCAAAAGAUGAAUUGAUUAAUGAAGUUAAAUAUCAUAAUUUUAUGAAAAUGAAAAGAAAGAGAAAUAUGGUUUGGACUGACCUUGUUAUGUGGAAUAGCUUGCCAGGAGCUUAU